CCCGUUUUUUCGUAUCGAUUCCAUCACCAUCAGUGAGAACCCGAGAUCAAGGUGGCCCUUCAAACCGGCCGCCUCGAGAGAUUCAAUGUGCCAUCUAAUUUCCGACCGACGUUACAUCGCCCACUCGGUAUGACGAUGACCAUGUCCGUUGAAUGCGCUUAAAGUGGUUCAAACCUUCUACAAUAGCGUCUGUCAACGAUGCUAGGUUUAAGAAGAUACGGAGCACUCCGGGCCAAAGGAUAUCAGCGAGCCCGACAGCACUGGGCACGGAUUGGCCUACCUCGAACCGGAAUUCCGCGCUCCAUGAUUCGGUACUCGCCGAACUUGUUGGCUUCGCUGGUGAACGCUUCCCGUAAUAGCGGCUCGUACGGAUAUAUGUCGGCUAGUGCGCUGGGACCGGCGCUUGGAUUUCACGCGGUCAUGCCUUCACAUCUGCAGCACCCGGACCUCACCCGCCUACAGCCAGAAUGGUUUCGUUGAACCAUCCGCUGCAUCCGGGACAUUCUUUGACCAAGUCGCAGCAAAUCACCAAUCCCUCUAGCAAGAAGCAGGACCUCCUCAUCCAUGCACCAACCAGGUGAAACGACAAGAGGCGGCCAGCGUCAGCAAUGGUCAGCAGAAGAAGUCCCGCGUCAAGCGUGAACCAUCUCAGCACGAUCCAAUGCACAAGGGAAGUCCUCUGAACGGGUCGGCGAUGGUCACCUCAACGCAUCAUGGACUCAACCUCAGCUCAAUGCACACCAUGGAGAGUAAGGACUUUGCUUCGUUUUUAUAGGUUGAAGGUUGCUGCUAGGCAUACUCCCGGCUGGAGAACCUCAAAACACAUCUGCGAUCGCACACCGAUGAAAAGCCGUACACCUACCACCCAAGUUGUAGCAGGGCGUUCAGCAACGCGUCCGAUCGGGCAAAUCACCACGGCGGGAGAGACGACGGGGAAAGUUUGAACCACCUGUUCGUUCAACGGAAGCCCCCCGGUCAGAGGCUAUGCAGAGUGGCAAG